rnacentral:rRNA from 1 species
UUUUGGACAAUGGGCGCAAGCCUGAUCCAGCCAUUCCGCGUGAGUGAAGAAGGCCUUCGGGUUGUAAAGCUCUUUAACAAAGGAAGAAAGGUUACUGUUUAAUACCCAGUGGCUAUGACGGUACUUGCAUAAUAAGCACCGGCUAACUAUGUGCCAGCAGCCGCGGUAAUACGUAGGGUGCGAGCGUUAAUCGGAAUUACUGGGCGUAAAGCGCGCGUAGGCGGUUUUGUAAGUUUGGAUGUGAAAUCCCCGGGCUCAACUUGGGAACUGCGUUUAAAACUACAAGACUAGAAUAGGUGAGAGGGGGGUAGAAUUCCAGGUGUAGCGGUGAAAUGCGUAGAUAUGUGGAGGAAUAUCAAUGGCGAAGGCAGCCUUCCUGGAUAUAUAUUGACGCUCAUGCGCGAAA